CUUCUGCUGGCCGUAUGCUCUAAGCUCUUUGUUCCUUGCUCCUAUAAAAAGACUUGACUGCAGAAAUAAACUUGUCAGUCCUAGUAUAGACUGUCCAAGUGUUGUUCUUUCAGGUUCACCAUUUCCAAGUCCUGGGAGAGAAAAUUCCAACAAGUGGCGCCAAGAACAGGGACUUGACGGAAGACUGAACAAAGUGGUGAGCCCUGCAGAAAGAGAUGGAGAAGAAAUCUGGGUUCCACUUCACCAUGUCCGUUACCGAGAAGGACCCCAAGACCAGACUUCCCUGACAGGUGACGUAGCUGACACGAAGCAUCUCGUCAAUGACCAUAGAGGAGCCGAAGAGAAAACGUCAACGUCUGAACCCCUACCGUAGGACCUGAGCAAUGGCAUGUGUGGAAGAUUCCUGCUGCAUUGGGCGCUUUGCCAAUGUGUAUGGGACUGUGAAAGCCUUAAAACCUCAAAACUAUACCUUUUUAUACGAUAGUACAGGUUAUAUCCAAUCUUGUGUGCACCUCCCAUACAUGUUUAUUGUAGGUAACUUCGAUAUAGAUCUUUCUGCUAAGAUUGUUAACUGUACAGCAUGUGCCUUGUAUACGUGUUUAAACCAUACUAUUUCAUAUCAUUAUGUCAACAUUGCAAUAGUCAAGCAAAGAUCCGAUUUGUGGCUUCCUGUUAACCUAACAGAACCAUGGACCGACUCUGUAUUUCUCUCAGUUUUGCUCAAAUAUGGCUUAAGGAGGUCAAGGCGCAUAAUAGGAUGGAUUAUUGCUGGCAUUCUUGGUCUAAUAUCUAUUGUUCCAGUAGGAACCCUAUCUGGUAUGGCACUACACAAUUCUAUACAGAUGUCUCUACUCAAGACUCCAUGCUUCCUACGACAGAGUCCAACUAACAGCUGCCAUGCUUAAACUAAAAACAAAAGGAGAAUAUGUUGGGAGGCACAGUGCAAAAUAGCCUUAAAAGAGAAGGUCCGUGGGAAAAUGGCAAAGAGCCAGAAGUACCCAGGCAUUGUGUACUGAUUGCUGAAGAACACUUCCUGCCUUUGGCUAUGCUCGGCGCCUAGAUUUAACAAUUAAACAUUAAAGACGUUGCUUGAGAAAAUGGGUCAUGGAUAAAUACAUGGGUUGUUAAGAAUG